AGUAGAGAGAGUGAAGCUCUGUCUGAAUGGGAUGGUUCAGUUCCUGUCCUCUCAGUAGAGAGAGUGAAGCUCUGUCUGAAUGGGAUGGUUCAGUUCCUGUCCUCUCAGUAGAGAGAGUGAAGCUCUGUCUGAAUGGGAUGGUUCAGUUCCUGUCCUCUCAGUAGAGAGAGUGAAGCUCUGUCUGAAUGGGAUGGUUCAGUUCCUGUCCUCUCAGUAGAGAGUGGGGAGGUUAUUGUACGGCUGUGUAUACAAACUGAAUCACUGUGGUAUUCGGACAAGGAACCAAGCUCAUUGUUACUGACUCUACCCUCCCUCCGCCUGUCUUGACCAUCCUCCCUCCGUCCAGCGAUGAGUUGAAGUCCAGCAAAGUCACCCUGGUGUGUCUGGCCAGUCAGAUGGCCAUGGGCUACGCAGAUGUCAGCUGGACAGCUGGAGGGAAUCCGGUCACCGGCGGCAUCGCUACGAGUGGCCCGGUGCCGCAAGCCGACAAGACGUUCCAGCUCAGCAGCUGUCUGACCGUUGACACGUCAGAAUGGAACCAGGACAAAGUGUUCUCAUGUAAAGUCACCGCGGGAUCCAAGUUCGCUGAGAAAGGCAUCAAGAAGUCUGAAUGCAGCACUGAAUAGCCUGAGAACCAUUGUAAUGUCCAUUUCAUUUUCUACAUCACUUUUCAAGUUAUUGUUAACGCAUUAAAAUGUUUAACCUGCAUAUUUACAUUAUGUUCCAUAAAAGAUAAAUAGCUCAUCACACUGAUAUCAUAGGCUACAUGAUAAGUGGACUUGUUAUAUUUGAAAUGGGUUGUUUUGCAGAUGAUUAAUAAAGGAAUAGUUAAAGCUUUGCUGUAUUGUGGAUAUUCAAUAAAGAACAUUCUAAAGAACAAGUGUUUGUAUUAGAGCAUGUUGAUGAGCAUCAGUGUUAGCAGCUCUAAAUGAGGGGGAAUGUAACUGAUCUCAAAUAGAGCAUCCUGCUCUCUGACUUUAGUCCAGAUCCAGAAAUAGUUGAUCUAGAUAUCCAGGAUGUAGGGCAGGUUUACUAUAAUGUUAAUGAAUAACCAGAGAUGGACCACAAGUUUAGUUUAUAUUACAACUUCACAUUAUUGAGAACCUUCAUUAGUAUGAUAUGAUUGUUUUAUAAACUGGGGUAUUCGAGCCCUGAAUGCUGAUUGGCUGACAGCCGUGGUAUACUGUAUCAGACCGCAUACCAAAACAUUUAUAUGUACUGCUUUAAUUACGUUGGUAACCAGUUUAUAAUCGCAAUAAGGCACCUCUGGGGUUUGUGGUAUAUGGCCGAUAUAAUACGGCUAAGGGCUGUAUCCAGGCACUCCGCAAUUCGUCGUAAAUAAGAACAGCCCUUAGCUGUGGUAUAUCGGCAUUUUACCACACCCCCUCAGGACCUUAUUGCGUAAUUAUUAGACCAUUCUGAAAGUACUUCUUUAAUUACAACGAUAUAUAUCUGAAUAAAACUAUUGAUUUGUAAAGAAUCAUGUGAUUGGGGAUCGCAAUAUUUCCUGUACAAUAUUUGCUUGUACUCUUUCACUGUAUGAUGAAUUAAAACAACAGUACAAUAACACGAUAUAUUCAAUAUAUUCAUAUUAUAUAGUUACAAUAUUCAAAGGUGUUUUAAACUUGCAUCUUACUACGAUGUACAAUACCAUUUUAUGCCAGCAUGUGGAAAGAGAAGAGAGAAACAUAUUGUAAUAUGCUGCCACCUUGUGGCUCAAACAGAUGUUUUUCAACAGUGUAUACUGAGGGAAUAAAUCAUUAGGAACAUCUGCUCUUUCCAUGACACAGACUGACCAGGUGAAUCCAGGUGAAAGCUAUGAUGUCUUAUUGAUGUCACCUGUUAAAUUAACUUCAAUCAGCGUAGAUGAAGGGGAGGAGACAUAAUAAAGAUGGAUUUUCAAGUUGAGAUAAUUGAGGCAUGGCUUGUUCAUGAGUAUAUUUUCCAGCAGGCAGAAAGAGGAAAGAGUUGUAUUUCAACAGUAUAUUUGUAAAGUAGUCCUGUAGUACCUUACUCUGUAUUUUCACUAUUUACUAGGGGUGAAACGGUACGUGUAUUCGUAUUGAACCGUUCGGUACAGGGUCCACGGUGCACGGGGUCCGGUACGCACUGUGAGCCGAACAAUACAUUCAUCAUAUAUAAUAGCUAGGAAUAUAUAUUUAUAUAUUUCAUUAUAAAAAAUAAACCAAUGGCGUAUAAAUUAAUGUGGGGAAAAUACCAUAGCAAUAAAGUUUGCUUAAAAAAUAAAGUUGUUUCGUCUCGUAGCUCAUUAGUUAUUUCACUCCAGCGAGAACAGAGCGGAGAGGUCGUCGUAGCAGCAAUUAGCUUAUGAAGGAAUUAGCAGCUGGCUAAAUGCAAAGAAGCAACAUGGCAAGCAUUGGUGAGCCAGGGCAACAAUAUCCAGCUGACUCCGGUAGGGCUAAAGAAAUCAACGCAGCGAUAGCAAAGUUCAUAGCGGGGUUGAGAGAUACCUUGAGCAGAAAGCUGCAGUGUUUUCUACACUGACUGAUCAAGCUGUGACGGAGAAUGUCAAAGAUAUUGUGACUUUGUCUGAAAAUGCCAUAAGACUUGCAGAGGUGCAAAACCUCUCAAAACACAACACUGAUAUGCACUGAGAGCAUCCCAUCCGUUUCCAUGGUCCUGCCGAUGACAACAAUGAUCCUGGAAUCAAUGGUGGCAUGAUGAAGGUGAACCCGCGGUAAGGGAUGUGAAGACUGCUAUCAGAGUUAACCUGGAGCCUAGACAUGCUGACCCUGGUGUCCAAGACUUCUUACACAAGAGCACCGCUUUGGACCCCCAGUUCAAGUCCCUGAUGCUGCUGCUCGUCUGAGAAAUGAACUCACAGCAGAGAUGGUGACCAAUAUACAACAGGGUCAAGCCACAGAUGCCACAGGAGCCAACCCCUCUCCAGAGACAGCAGGCGACAGGGGUUCUCCUCCAGAAAACAAGUCUGCCGUGGCUGAGCUUUCUGAGGAUUUGUUCACGACCCAGGAGCAGGGAACCAAGUUAAAGGUCAAGGUCAUAGAGGGGGAGGUGACCUCAUACAGGGAAGUGGACUGUAUUCCCUUGGAUGCUGAUCCACUUACAUGGUGGAAGACCAAAGAGUUAAUAUACCCUCAUAUUGCCAUGUUAGCAAGGUGCUACCUGGCUGUGCCUGGGACCUCUGUCGCUAGCAAGAGGGUAUUCUCCACAGCUGCCUGGCUGUGUCUGGGACCUCUGUCCCUAGCAAGAGGGUAUUCUCCACAGCGGCUGGCAUUGUCACAGCAAGUCGAUCUGUGCUCACUGCAGAUAAUGUAGAUAGACUAAUCUUAUUUUUUACCAGCCUCAAGUGGUCCUAUUGUGUUUAAGGCACUGCUAUGUGACUUAAUGUUGAUGUAUGCUGCUGGACUACACACCGUUGUUGAAGUUCUGUUUUAAAUGACUAUUUUAUUUCAUGUGACAAGACGGGCACUGCUGGUUUUUGUUGUCCCUUCGUUUCCAUCUGCUCCUGGGAAUUCAAGCUGCCCUGUUUACUAUUAUAAUACAGGGGAAAUCUAAAUACAAAGCACAUGUUUCUGAGGCAUUUAUUUUGUU